rnacentral:rRNA from 1 species
UGAUCAGCCAUGCCGCGUGUGUGAAGAAGGCCUUCGGGUUGUAAACCACUUUCAGCGAGGAAGAACGUCAUGGGAUUAAUACUCCCGAGGAAGGACAUCUCUCUGAGAAGAAGCACCGGCUAACUCCGUGCCAGCGGCCGCGGUAAUACGGAUGGUGCAAGCGUUAACCGGAAUUACUGGGCGUGAAGCGCGCGUAGGUGGCUGAGUCAGCCCGGGGUGAAAGCCCCGGGCUCAACCGGGGAGCGGCAUCUGGAACUGCUUGGAUUGAGUGCAGGAGAGGAAGGUAGAAUUCCCGGUGUAGCGGAGAAAUGCGUAGAGAUCGGGAGGAAUACCAGUGGCGAAGGCGGCCUUCUGGACUGACACUGACACUGAGGUGCGAAAGCGUGUGUAGCAAACAGGAUUAGAUACCCUGGUAGUCCACGCCGUAAACGAUGUCAACUAGCCGUUGGGUCCCUUGAGGACUUAGUGGCGCAGCUAACGCAAUAAGUUGACCGCCUGGGGAGUACGGCCGCGAGGUUAAAACUCAAACGGUCCUUUCUUCUCUGCGUCCAGAUCCCUAGCUCCUCCUCCCCCAUUGAAUGUGUUUUAUGACCGAAAACCCUUCUUCCCUCCUGCGAGUAUCGUUGGAUCAGACUUUCGUCCAUGGUGCAACAUUCCCGCACUGCUGCCUUCAGUAAACC